rnacentral:rRNA from 1 species
AUUGAACGCUGGCGGCAGGCUUAACACAUGCAAGUCGAGCGGAGAGAGGUAGCUUGCUACUGAUCUUAGCGGCGGACGGGUGAGUAAUGCUUAGGAAUCUGCCUAUUAGUGGGGGACAACAUUUCGAAAGGAAUGCUAAUACCGCAUACGUCCUACGGGAGAAAGCAGGGGAUCUUCGGACCUUGCGCUAAUAGAUGAGCCUAAGUCGGAUUAGCUAGUUGGUGGGGUAAAGGCCUACCAAGGCGACGAUCUGUAGCGGGUCUGAGAGGAUGAUCCGCCACACUGGGACUGAGACACGGCCCAGACUCCUAUGGGAGGCAGCAGUGGGGAAUAUUGGACAAUGGGCGCAAGCCUGAUCCAGCCAUGCCGCGUGUGUGAAGAAGGCCUUACGGUUGUAAAGCACUUUAAGCGAGGAGGAGGCUACUUUAGUUAAUACCUAGAGAUAGUGGACGUUACUCGCAGAAUAAGCACCGGCUAACUCUGUGCCAGCAGCCGCGGUAACAC